rnacentral:rRNA from 1 species
GACGAACGCUGGCGGCGUGCCUAAUACAUGCAAGUUGAGCGCUGAAGGUUGGUACUUGUACCAACUGGAUGAGCAGCGAACGGGUGAGUAACGCGUGGGGAAUCUGCCUUUGAGCGGGGGACAACAUUUGGAAACGAAUGCUAAUACCGCAUAAAAACUUUAAACACAAGUUUUAAGUUUGAAAGAUGCAAUUGCAUCACUCAAAGAUGAUCCCGCGUUGUAUUAGCUAGUUGGUGAGGUAAAGGCUCACCAAGGCGAUGAUACAUAGCCGACCUGAGAGGGUGAUCGGCCCCAUUGGGACUGAGACACGGCCCAAACUCCUACGAGAGGCAGCAGUAGGGAAUCUUCGGCAAUGGACGAAAGUCUGACCGAGCAACGCCGCGUGAGUGAAGAAGGUUUUCGGAUCGUAAAACUCUGUUGGUAGAGAAGAACGUUGGUGAGAGUGGAAAGCUCAUCAAGUGGCGGUAACUACCCAGAAAGGGACGGCUAACUACGUG